rnacentral:ncRNA from 1 species
CUAAUCGCGAGGUUAGCGCUGAAGGAAGCGUGUAUCAAAAUCUUGACUCGACGAACAGAAAUCUGAUACCAAGGCUUUAGUAGGCGGAUAAGGCUCCAUGUCAAGUCAAAGUCCAAAAGAUGUGCGUAAUCCUACAGAGUAAAUCAGGCGAGUAAAAGAGGAAAGGUAGUUGU